CUCCGUCCCCGCCUCGUGGUGUGUACCUCCCCCCACUGCGAUGGUGGUCCCAAGAGCCAGGGGGGAAGUGGGGCUGGCUCUCAGUCCCCGCCUCGCAUGGGGUGCCUCCUCCUCCCUGCGAUGGGGGCCGAAGAGCGAGAGGUGAAGAGGGGCUGGCUCUCAGUCCCUGCCUCACGGGGGGUACCUCCCCCGCUGCGAUGGCUGUCCUAAGACACGGGGGGGAAGAGGAGCUGGCUCUCAGUACCUGCCUCGCGUGGGGUGCCAAGCGCCUGCGAUGGGGGUCCUAAGAGCCACGGGGGGAAGAGGGGCAGGCUCUCCGUCCCUGCCUCGCGGGGGGUGCCUCUCCCCGCUGUGAUGGGGGUCCUAAUAGCCAGGGGGCGCAGAGGGGCUGGCUCUCAGUCCCCGCCUCGUGUGGGGUGCCUCCCCCCCCCGCAAUGGGGGUCCUAAGAGCCAGGGGAGGAAGAGAGGCUGGCUCUCAGUCCCUGCCUCGCGGGGGGUGCCUCCCUCACCAGCAAUGGGGCUCCUAAGAGCCAGGGGGGAAGAGGGGCUGGCUCCGGUACAUUGCAAAUGACCUGCUUUUUUUCUGAUCCCGAGCUGCGUUCAGACCCCUGUCGGAUAGUAAAUCCCAAGUAAGGUACCUUCUGCUGGAAGAUCUGAGCUUUCUUCUUGGACACCUAAAACCCACAGUCCUCCAGCAGUGAAGGAUCCAGUGAGAUUUUCCAGGUUAACGGUCAUAAUCGCCUACUGGUCCAACGUUCAGAAGUAACACAGGCACCUGGACAAUACACAGUAGAUGUGGAAGGACACGGUUGUACAUUUAUCCAGGCCACCCUUAAGUACAAUGUUCUCCUACCUAAGAAGGCAUCUGGAUUUUCUCUUUCCUUGGAAAUAGUAAAGAACUACUCUUCGACUGCUUUUGACCUCACAGUGACCCUCAAAUACACUGGAAUUCGCAAUAAAUCCAGUAUGGUGGUUAUAGAUGUAAAAAUGCUAUCAGGAUUUACUCCAACCAUGUCAUCCAUUGAAGAGCUUGAAAACAAGGGCCAAGUGAUGAAGACUGAAGUCAAGAAUGACCAUGUUCUUUUCUACUUGGAAAAUGGUUUUGGUCGAGCAGACAGUUUCCCUUUUUCUGUUGAGCAGAGCAACCUUGUGUUCAACAUUCAGCCAGCCCCAGCCAUGGUCUACGAUUACUAUGAAAAAGAAGAAUAUGCCCUAGCUUUUUACAACAUCGACAGUAGUUCAGUUUCCGAGUGAGACAAAGCAAUUACUAGAAGAGUUGGAGAAGCAUUUCUUGUAACAAACUGAUUCUUCUGUAUCAAACCUGGAAAAAAAUCAUGAACCAUCUGACAUCGUGAACAGUCUGCAGUGGGCUAUGGUUUCUUGUCAAGUCUUAUUUCCUUAUCAUCCCAUUAAAUGUUGUCAUUUUGCAU
rnacentral:lncRNA from 1 species